rnacentral:rRNA from 1 species
UACGUAGGUGGCAAGCGUUGUCCGGAUUUACUGGGCGUAAAGAGCGCGCAGGCGGUCGUUCAAGUCGCGUGUGAAAGCCCCCGGCUCAACUGGGGAGGGUCACGCGAUACUGAUCGACUCGAAGGCAGGAGAGGGAAGUGGAAUUCCCGGUGUAGUGGUGAAGUGCGUAGAUAUCGGGAGGAACACCAGUGGCGAAGGCGACUUCCUGGCCUGUUCUUGACGCUGAGGCGCGAAAGCUAGGGGAGCAAACGGG